UACGUAGGGAGCAAGCGUUGUUCGGAAUCAUUGGGCGUAAAGCGCGCGUAGGUGGCUUCGUAAGUCCGUUGUGAAAGUCAAAGGCUCAACCUUUGAAAGCCGAUGGAUACUGCGGAGCUAGAGUACGGAAGAGGCGAGUGGAAUUCCUGGUGUAGCGGUGGAAUGCGCAGAUAUCAGGAGGAACACCAAUAGCGAAGGCAGCUCGCUGGGACGUUACUGACACUGAGGCGCGAAAGCUAGGGGAGCAAACGGG
rnacentral:rRNA from 1 species